rnacentral:rRNA from 1 species
AUUGAACGCUGGCGGCGGGCCUAACACAUGCAAGUCGAGCGGAUGAAGGGAGCUUGCUCCUGGAUUCAGCCGCGGACGGGUGAGUAAUGCCUAGGAAUCUGCCUGGUAGUGGGGGAUAACGUCCGGAAACGGGCGCUAAUACCGCAUACGUCCUGAGGGAGAAAGUGGGGGAUCUUCGGACCUCACGCUAUCAGAUGAGCCUAGGUCGGAUUAGCUAGUUGGUGGGGUAAAGGCCUACCAAGGCGACGAUCCGUAACUGGUCUGAGAGGAUGAUCAGUCACACUGGAAAUGAGACACGGUCCAGACUCCUACGGGAGGCAGCAGUGGGGAAUAUUGGACAAUGGGCGAAAGCCUGAUCCAGCCAUGCCGCGUGUGUGAAGAAGGUCUUCGGAUUGUAAAGCACUUUAAGUUGGGAGGAAGGGCAGUAAGUUAAUACCUUGCUGUUUUGACGUUACCAACAGAAUAAGCACCGGCUAACUUCGUG